rnacentral:piRNA from 1 species
UAGCAGAAUUUGGUGUUGCCUGUGGUC